AGCUCAUGUUUGGAAGAGGAACAAAAUUGUCCGUGGAACCCAAUCUUGAGGAUUCCGAACCUUCCCUCUAUGAGCUAAAACCACAGAAACAGGAAGAUCAAAGCAUUUCUGCUUGCCUCAUCACGGACUAUUCCCCUGGAAACAUCUCAGCAGGGCUGGAGUACCCUUUGGAUCCAGUCAACAGUUCAGUUGUGGUGAACGGGGGUGGCAGCGACUCAACAGCCAGCUACGGGACUGUCCUUUGGGGCAACAAUGAUGGAAACUUCAAUUGUCAUGCUUUUCAUGAGGGAAAAAACUACUCAUUAAACGACAUGGAAGAUGCUGAAGAUGAGUGCUCAGCAGUAGAGUUUGAGACAGAUGAAAGACUCAAUUUCCUUUCUGUCACAGUGCUGGGAUUGCGGUUUAUUUUCCUAAAGUCAGUUGCUGUCAACCUGCUUCUAACUUUCCGCCUGUGGUCCUCUUGAGAAAGGAACGUGAAAACAGGCAAUAACAUCUUGGCAAGUGAUUGUGAAAGACUCACCAAAACAGAUAUGUGCUGUCAUCUGACGGGAAACAUAAAGAAGAGCAUCUGAGCUGAGUUGGCAAGAACCAGAUGUCCUUCCUACUUCUCCAUGCUGGGAAUGGAUUUAUCUUCUCAAUUUAUGCUUGUCGUGCAGUUACUCAAAGAACUGCAGCCCUGAACAAAUGUUUUUUAACAACCCUACUUUCUGUAUAUUAUCCUGUCUUUUACUGAGUAUAAUCAAUUACAUGCUUUUGUAUAUUAUCAAACAUUAAAGAUGUGUAUGUUUGAAUCUUUA